CCUGGCUCACAUUGAACGCUGGCGGCAGGCCUAACACAUGCAAGUCGAGCGGAAACGGCCGCAUUGAAGCUUCCGAGGAUUUGCUGGACGUCGAGCGGCGGACGGGUGAGUAACGGCUGGGAACCUGCCCUGACGAGGGGGAUAACCGUUGGAAACGACGGCUAAUACCGCAUAAUGUCUUAGUUCAUUACGAGCUGGGACCAAAGGUGGCCUCUACAUGUAAGCUAUCGCGUUGGGAUGGGCCCAGUUAGGAUUAGCUAGUUGGUAAGGUAAUGGCUUACCAAGGCAACGAUCCUUAGCUGGUUUGAGAGGAUGAUCAGCCACACUGGGACUGAGACACGGCCCAAACUCCUACGGGAGGCAGCAAUGGGGAAUAUUGCUCAAUGGGGGAGACCCUGAUGCAUCCAUGCCGCGUGUGGGAAGAAGGCCUUCGGGUUGUAAAGCACUUUCAUCAGUGAGGAAGGUCGUGUACUUAAUACUUGCACGGCUUGACGUUAGCUGCACAAAAACCACCGGCUAACUCCGUGCCGGCAGCCGCGGUAAUACGGAGGGUGCGAGCGUUAAUCCGAAUUACUGGGCGUAAAGCGCAUGCGGGCGGUUUGUUAAGUCAGAUGUGAAAGCCCGGCGCUCAACCUC
rnacentral:rRNA from 1 species